UACAGAGGUCCCGAGCGUUGUUCGGAUUCACUGGGCGUAAAGGGUGCGUAGGUGGUGAGGUAAGUCGGAUGUGAAAUCUCCGGGCUCAACCCGGAAAUGGCAUUGGAAACUACCUUGCUGGAGGAUUUGAGGGGGGAUUGGAAUACUUGGUGUAGCAGUGAAAUGCGUAGAUAUCUGGAGGAACACCGGUGGCGAAGGCGGCGUUCUGGACUGUUUCUGACACUGAUAAACGAAAGCCAGGGGAGCAAACGGG
rnacentral:rRNA from 1 species